UACGGAGGGUGCAAGCGUUGUUCGGAUUUACUGGGCGUAAAGCGCGCGCAGGUGGGUGAACAAGUCGGAAGUGAAAUCUUGAGGCUCAACCUCGAGGCUGCUCCCGAAACUGUUCGCCUAGGGACUGGUAGAGGCUGGUAGAAUUCCCGGUGUAGCGGUGGAAUGCGUAGAGAUCGGGAGGAACAUCUGUGGCGAAGGCGGCCAUCUGGACCAGCACUGACACUGAGGCACGAAGGCGUGGGGAGCAAACAGG
rnacentral:rRNA from 1 species